rnacentral:lncRNA from 1 species
UGGGAAUUAAAGAAAUGUCUCCAGGUAGAAGAAGUUUUAUGCUAAUUGGCUGCAUGAUGAUGCUGCUGCUAUUGAUCGAUUCCGAGCCUAUAACAAUGGCUGCACAAGGUAACAAUUAAUUAUGGCUGGUUAGUACGUCUGUUAUACAUAAUAAGACUUUUAAUAAUUUGAAGUCACGUACGUACUACCAAACUUAUUCCAGAUGAUGUGAAGAAGAACAUCGUAAGCAAGAAGAGGAGGGAUAAGGACGUCGGAAUUUUGCAGCAAUCCAAAAGGGCAGCUAAGAGGAGCUUCUCACCCCCAGCUCAUCAUGGCUCCUGUGAUUCCUGUUCCUAGAUUUUAUUUUCCUCCGUUAUAUAUUAUAAUUCCA